UACGAAGGGAGCUAGCGUUGUUCGGAAUCACUGGGCGUAAAGCGCACGUAGGCGGAUGUGUCAGUCAGGGGUGAAAUCCCGGAGCUCAACUUCGGAACUGCCUUUGAUACAGCACGUCUUGAGUCCGAUAGAGGUGGGUGGAAUUCCUAGUGUAGAGGUGAAAUUCGUAGAUAUUAGGAAGAACACCGGUGGCGAAGGCGGCCCACUGGGAUCGGUACUGACGCUGAGGCGCGAAAGCGUGGGGAGCAAACAGG
rnacentral:rRNA from 1 species